rnacentral:sRNA from 1 species
CCUGCUUUAAACGCGGCUGCGUCACCGUGCCGUCAGUGCGCAUCAC